CUUCAUUUUUUUUAGAACGAAGCAUCCAUAUCCAUGUUAAUUUCCUCGCAGAGGAAGGGAGGGCGCGCUUGUGACGGGGCACUGGAGCCGUGGAAGCGCAGAGUCUUGGAGUCACAGAGUCGCGCGCCAGUAGAGGGUGCAAUUCUCGGAGCUUGGCAGGGGAAGUUCUGACAGAUAUCCACAGCAUGAUACCUCACCAGUCAAGAUAAUAUCAAGCAAGUACAGACCAGUCAGGAGGAUAUCAAAACCAACACAAGAGGUACAGCAACCACCCAGAACAUCAGUACCAUCUUGUACUUUUGCAAGCAAGCCUCAUCAUCAAACCUGUCCAGAAAGAACAGAGCAACCAAAGCAAGGACACACAGAUAACGAUUCAGAGCGACUUGAUGACCUAAUGAAUUCAAUCCAACGCUUGAAGGAGGAGAAACUAGCUCAGAUAGAAUGUUCAUCACCCUUAACAAAGCUAUGCAAUGAGUGAUUGAGUUCUGGAGAAUUAUGACUUGUUUCAAGUUAAUGUUCAAUUUCAGUACCUGCUAAUUAAGAAAAAAACUACUUAGCAAGGAUAAGUGAUGCGAAAAGAAUUCCAAGUUCGAAUUUAACAACUGACACACUACAUAUGACAGCUCAUGAUGAAUUAGUGGUUCUGUAGGAGCAGUUUUUAUGUCCAAUUUGACCCUUUGCUAGGAUGAUUAUUCACUGAAAGUUGAUUGUUUUACCUGUGAGAGUCAGUCCUUAAUCUUGAUUUGUGCACCUACCGUUUGAAUCUUUAACAUGUAGCUUGAAGGAUGAAUAAUCACAUGUGAGGUAAAUUAUGUCAUUAAAUAUACAUAAUUUAUAAGCGACUUAUACAGAAACCUGAUCCUUCAUUACCUUUGGCAAACUUGGAUAAGAAUAAUACUGGAAAAAUAAGCCUGACAUGGCAAGAGGCGUAUUAAAUUUUAAGCCUUCCACUUGUACAAUUUAUGCAAUACUCACAUCAUCUAUCAUAUUAAUCACGGUUGUCAUUGUAUGGCAUUUUGAAUUUACGGGCCUGUUUGUAGAACAUAAUGAAAAUAGAUGGAAUGAAUUCGGAAUAAUGUACUCUAAAUGCAACACGCAAGCACAACAAACGUGAACAACGACAUUUUCUAAAAGUAUGAUGCACAUGUUUGCGUUUGCGCACAGCAAAAUAAAACGCUCAUUUAAUACUGAUUGUGUCUUUCGGUAUUUGGCAUUAAUUAGCUCAGCAUAGAAUACAAGUGCAGAUAUACAAGUAGCUGUAUUCCAGUUUUCCAUAGGUUUGUGCACAAACAUGUACAUGUAUGCGUACAGUAGGCUUCACUUUAUAUAGCAAGUUAGGGCUCUAGUAUUUAAUAGCCCUAUUAAAGGGGUUGUGAAAUCUUUUGAAAACACUUUAUCCCUA
rnacentral:lncRNA from 1 species